UUAUGUAUGUAUAGUAAACUUCUGUUUUUAUAUAUGUUUUAUUUCUUUCUAGCAGCUCUAUACUACUGGUUGUAGUGUUGUAUGAUUACAGGUAUAGGUACAGCUUCGCUUCGUAUACAGAAAAAAUUUCUAUGUAUACGGUGGGUCUGUUAGCGUGCUCGGGGAAAUGAGGAAUCUGGGGCGUGACACUUUUAGCGCAUACUUAAAUUAGAUUAAGGUGCAAUUUAUUUA
rnacentral:lncRNA from 1 species